UACGUAGGGUGCAAGCGUUAAUCGGAAUUACUGGGCGUAAAGCGUGCGCAGGCGGUGAUGUAAGACAGGUGUGAAAUCCCCGGGCUUAACCUGGGAAUGGCAUUGGUGACUGUACGGCUAGAGUGUGUCAGAGGGGGGUAGAAUUCCACGUGUAGCAGUGAAAUGCGUAGAGAUGUGGAGGAAUACCGAUGGCGAAGGCAGCCCCCUGGGAUAACACUGACGCUCAUGCACGAAAGCGUGGGGAGCAAACAGG
rnacentral:rRNA from 1 species